CAAUAGCCCCGAUAGUAGCGGCAUCCUUUUUCUUUUUUUGCUAAAAAAGGAAAAGAUAUAGCGGAUAGCGGGAAAUAGC
rnacentral:sRNA from 1 species